GGGGGCGUUAUGGCUUCGACGGGGGUAAGAUGGAUUUGAGAAGCGAGUCGAGGGACGCAUGUGGCCUCGUUAAUAAAAUAUGCACUAAAUGUAAACGCAGAAGAUAAUUUUGCAUUAGCAGCCUAGUUAGUUGCUCGUCCUACCUUUGAGUCCCACGGCUUAGGAUAGGGCGUCAAAUAGUGGGGAACCGAACUUAGCAAAGCUUUGAGCUAUGGACGGAAUUUAUGAAGCUACUAAAAGGUAAAGCCUGUCUGCAGGCGUUACCUGGAGGGAAUGUUAAAAUGCAGACUGCACUCGGAGAUGCUCAAAUUGGUCUACUUUCGGACAGGGGUUCGAUACCCCUCGCCUCCACCA
rnacentral:tmRNA from 1 species